UCCAGGGCCGCAGUUUGAUUGACGAGGUCCGCAUGGGAGCGCAGACGUGUCACGCAGACUCGCGGGUUCCUGAGCCUCUUGGGCGGUGAUCAUAGCGCACCGCGGGCCAACAGGGGGAGCAGGCGGGAGCGCUCCCCCCUCCCCGCACCUCAGACCCCCAUUUUAGAAUAUCCUUAGGAGGGCUGGCUGCUCUGACCUCGGCUUGAACUCCUUCAGGGCCAGAGAGAUCACUCCUUCCACCACUAAGACAAGGAGGCAAAGUGCGUUUGCUGGCUUUGAAUUCAUGCUCAAAGCUCUGACGGGUCUGGCAGCGGUGAACUCAGCCUGGAAUUCCUGAGGGCAGACUGCGGCUCAGAUCCACAGGGACGUGGGGCAGGGGGUGUCUGAGUGUGGGGAAACUACUUCUCCCGAGACAAAUUCUGCCUCCUGCUGCCAUUGGCUGCGGGAUGGAGGUCGGGGUGGGGCGGUGCUCCUGGACCUCGGUCCUCGGACCUGUCACACAGGAUGAACAGUUAGCAACUUGCUCCACUACCCACCCACAGGUGGCAGAUGAGUAUCCUUGGGGAAAGUGGGUGGCAUGAAACCAUUUCCAGACCUCUAGGGACACUGGAAUGGCCUGGUCCCAGCACAUUUCCAAGAACACACACACACACACACACACACACACACACACACACACACACACACCACAGCCUGUGGGUGGCCAAGGUUGGGAAGGGUAGUCUGAGAAAUCCUGGACAGCUUGACUUGAAAGGUGAGGAUUCCGUUUUCUAAAUGGAGCCACAGCCAUCCUGCCCUCAGACCUUCACAGCAUUGGUACACCCAGAAGGACACCUCCAUCCCCAGCACCUAAGUCCCUGUCAGACUUGGGAUGCAAGAAUCCAGCCCCAACCAACACCUGGGUCAGGCCUGUUGGCCUUGAUGACCACCUGGGUCAUCAAACCUCUCCAAAUCCUUCUGUAAGUAACCAGAGCUAGCCACCUCCAGGAAGUGGAGGAAAUGGUGACCUCAGGUGAACAUUCAUGUUCAAAAGCUCCUGUCCAGAAGGCUCCACCCCCUUUUUUUUUCUUAAAAAUUGCAUUGUAUUUAUUUAUUUGAGGAGAGGGAUACACAUGAAGGUCAAAGAACUGCUUUUGGGAAUCACUUCUCCCCGUGUAUCAAUGUAGGUCCUUCCUGGGGAUUGAUCCUCAGGCUUGGCAGCAAAAGCCUUUCCCAAAGAUGAGCCAUCUUGCUGGUUCCCCCACCCCUUAUUUCUAGCCAACAUGUUAAUCUGGAAACCCGGAAAUGGCUGCAGAGGGCAGAGGAGCCCAGCAAGACAGAGUCAACCUUGUUUUCAGCUUUCCCAGUCAGUCCACCAAGCAUGGCACCUUGGGGGCAAGAAGUCUGAGAAAUCAGACUUGUGAGGGCCCCAGGCUGCAAGCCUUGGGGAUCCCAGGCCAUUGUUCUCUCUAUUCCUCUGCCCAGGAAGCUGCUAGUCCUGUUGGUUGGCUCCCUCUGGAGUCUUAGAAGGUAUGACUUAUUUGGUGCCUACUAUGUGCUGAGUGAGGACAUCAUAGGCAUUAACUUAUUGCCUGGAGUUAGGGACAUUACUAUCCCCUCCAAAGAAAAGAGGAUUGUAAAUACCAUCCCCACGCUGUUCAGGCCCUCAUUAACGUGGCUUCCUGUGAGCCAACAACCCAAGCUCUGCACCCUUAGCCAGAAAUUCUGUGUGGCCCUAGACGAGUUGUUCUCCCUUUCUGGGCCCUCUAUAAACUAAAGGCUAGAUCUCAUAGCAGCCAUCAAGCCUUGCUGUUCUCUAUGCCCUGAGUUCCCAAUCUCGGCCUCAGCUGCAGUAGGCCUGGGUUGAAACAGAGAGGUGGAAAGUGCAUUCUGCCUGAUGGGUGAAGGUUCCUGUAUUCCCCCCUGGCUCUGAAGGCAGUGUCUGUACCCACCAGAGUGUGGACUGUGCAAUGCAAUCUCAGCUUACACCCACCUUCCCAUCAGGCCUAAGUACCUCUUGUUUCCUACCCUCAUAGAACCAUCAAGUCUGAGGAAGAGAGCCACUGCUUAGGUGGGACCUGAGCCUGGGUCCCAGGAAGCAGGAAGUCCAAGGGUCAGGAGGAAGGCUGUGAUGGGAGGUGUGAGCAACCUGAGUAUGCAGAGGAUCUGUGCAGGCAGGGUGUAGCGAGUAUGACCUCUGGACCAGGCUGCCAUCAGUGGGUUGAGGUAGGAACAAGCAUGCAGGUACCAGUUCCUGCCUCUCUCCUCCUGGAGCCAAAAGGUAUGUGAAAAUCCAUCUCGCUGCUCCCGUGGGCCAGGUGCUUUGGCACUCCGUCUCCUUCUGUGUCUCCAGGCCGAAGGAAGAGCACAGAGGUUGACUGGCUGCUGGGGGUCGGGGGUUGGGUAGGGUUCCAGGUGUGGCCGCACCCCUGAGCUCAUCUCAUGACCAAGUAUGGUACAGCUGAGGUGAUUUUUGAAGUGCUUUGGGGGAAGAUAUAAGCACCUGCUAGAUCUCUGUCUAAGCCCUUCCUAGACAGUGAGUAAUGGGAACAUAAUUAGUCUUCACCUGUGGUUGGACCGGGACCCUUUGGAUCCUGCCCAGCUCUGUACCUAUACCUCAUAGGAGUAGAUAGUUGAUCCACCACAGAAAGCCUGUACCCUCUAGCAUGGAGCCUCUAUGUUCCAGCUAGAUUCUCCUCCCUUCUCUGAACACUAGACAACUGAGGCAUCCUAAGAAGAUUCCCAGUAUAUGAUCAGCUAGGACUUAUUUGUAUUGGUUUCUUCAUGGAGGUGGGGCACUUUGAGACGAAGUCUUGCUGUGUAGCCCAGGCUGGCCUUUGAACUCAGAGUUCUGUGUCUGCCGAGUGCUAGGAUUACAGCUGUGAGCCACCACACCCAGCUGGGACGUGCCAUCUUGUCUUGUCAUCCUCUGAUCCUCACAAUGGCACUUCUCUGGGUGACUGAGAUGACACAGAGGGAGGCGGUGGCUUUCACUGGGCCACAGGACUGGGAAGUACAGAGAGAGCAUGAAAGGUGGGCCACUUCCUGCAGCACCCUCUCCCGACGCCAGCGCUCCACCAAACAGCAAGCUGGGACUGGUGUAUGAAGGCCAGCUGGGGAGAUAAAUGCAGCAUGCCAGGGGUGGAGUACAGUGGCUUCCUGCCUUCAUCCUGCAGCACCUUCACCCUGCAAAGGAGCUCAGGCCUGACGUCUCACAUAUGCAUGCUUUUUACACCCUCUUGCCCUAACCUGUCUUCAGGUUCUUCAUGCUCGGUGGCUUCCAGAAGUACCGCCAUCACAUGCGUACAACUCCUUGCCUGCUUCUGUGCACGCUCCCUUUGUCUCCUAGGACACACCCAUCCCAGCCUUCCAGUCCAUGUCUGCAGCCACCUGCUCAGGAGCCUACUCUGAUGAUACCACCAGCCAAGCCGUCUACAUCACCUCCAUCCCUGAAUGCUGCCAGACUGCCUCCAUAUCAGUAUGACGGUAGAGACUGCCUGUUAAGUUCCUGCUGUGGGCAGGUCCUCAGUAGCUCAUGCACUUGAGUUCUGGUCCUCACGUGAGCUGAGAAUUAGUACUAAUGGCUCCAUUUUACUGAUAAGAAAACUGAGGCAUAGGAACUCUCAGUUGCCAGUGUUACACCUCAUGGUGGAAACCACCCAGUCCCCCCACCUCUAGAGGUAGAAUAGAGGUUGCUCUAUACUGUCACCCAGUUACUUUACAAGCAGUCAAGUACAGCAGAGACAGAGACACACAUGGACAGACCAGGCUCCCAUGAAGGAUUGCCCAGAUGCCGUUCUUCAGGUUUAGGGAAGAAAAAUCACUGGUGUUGAACAGCAAAGGCGGGAUUAGUAUCCAGGCUCCCAAAGUGACUGGCAUUCCUGCACCUUGCAACUGUGCUCUUUUUGAAGGAUGCACAGUCCCAGGCGCCUUGAUGAUGCUGAGCUGCUCAGCGAGUGGCUUCUUCUCCCCUCAAUUAAAAUGAGAGAGAAGAAAGAAGAGAAACUAAGACAUUGUUCUCAACUGCAGCUGGUGACAAAUAGAACCGGGACCCAGCUGCAUAGGAUGGAGCAGGAGCCGGCCACCCAGAGGCCUGGCCUCACCCCUUCUGCAAGGAUCAGAUGUCACGGGGAGGGCUGGAGGACCACUGCCUCCAUCAUGCCUCCCUUCAUCAUGCAACUGCAGCCUUGGAAAGAUCCUGGAGGCAGCGGGACGGAGGAGGACAGACGGACGGCCACCGAUGGGAUUUCAAUUAGAAAAAUUCAGUGACCCUCACCAAGAGCAAGAACCAUAGAUGUUCUCUGCUGCCCACCUGGGACAGAAUUUCCAGACUUUGGCCUCCUCCAGCAGGCAGGCAUCCCCACCAAGGCAUCAGGCACGUGUGAUGCCAACACAGAGGUUUCAGAUGGGCUCACCUACCACUAUAGCAUCAGCAGAGCAACCUCCAUCUGUCCUAGACAGAUUAGAAGAUUCGCUGGGCCAGGACUCGCCUGAAUUCCAAGUCAACAAAAUCUGAGAUAAUGUGAAAUAGUUUCUGGCUUAAAACACCAAGUUUCAGGGGAGCUUAUUACAGAGGAUUUAACUGGAUACCAGUAUUCUUCUUGUCCCUCUAAAUCCUGGUGGAAUCCGGCCUGUGAAAGUACUGGAGCAGAGGGAGACACUAACCUGGGGACGGAAAGCCAUCACCAUUUUACAGGCUGGAAGACUGAGGCCUGAAGGCAAAAGUGUUUUCUUUGCCUAGGAUCCAAAAGCAAGAAGGUGGCAGAAGAGCUGGCUUGGAGCCAGCCACCAGCCAUGGAAAGAAGGCAGCUAAGUGCUGGAAUUUACCUGGCUGCAUCCUCAAAGGGCCUGGAAGGCAGGAAGGAGGCAGCCAUUUCUGCGUGAGCCUCGCUGUGCCAGCCCCGUGCUGAGGAUCUCAUUUGGCCCUUGGGAUAGGCUAGAUGUUGUUCUAAGAGCUUUGUGUGGAUUGGCUCAUUUUGAUGAAUUUAAUCCUUCCUGUAUCCUUGCUGUUGUAUAAUUGUUCCCAUUUUAAAGACAGGUUAGCUGAGGCAAUAGAAGUAAAAUAAUGUGUCCAAGGUCCCACAGUCCUCAUGGGCUUUGUUGAACCCCAACUUUAUAAUGUCUUAGCAAUGGGGAUCUUUAUCAUCAUUAGGUCCAGCCUGAAAGGGGUUAAGCAACUUCCUCAAGGUCACCCAACAUGUGGAUGCAGCCAAACUGGGAUUCCAGCUCUACUCUGGGUGGCAUCGAGGGAGUAUGUUGUCCCAUGCUUAAAACAUGGCUGGUCUCAACCCAGACUCAGAAAGACAAACAUGGUAUGUACUCACUCAUAGCAGGAUACUAGACAUGAAACAAGGAUGACUUGUCUGCUACUCACAUCACCAGGGAGGCUACCUGGAAAACAGGACCCCAAGAAAGACACAGGGAUCGCCCAAUGACAGAGAAAUGGAAUGAGAUCUACAUGAACAGCCUGGACAUGAGUGGGGGUAAUGAAAGGCGAGGGUUGAGGGAAAGAGAGCUUGGGGGAGCGGGAGAUCCCAGCUGGAUCAACAACAGAGAGGGAGAACAAGGAAUAGGAGACCAUGGUAAAUGAAGACCACAUGAGAAUAGGAAGAAGCAAAGUGCUAGAGAGGCCCACAGAAAUCCACAAAGAUACCCACACAACAGACUGCUGGCAAUGGUCGAGAGACAGCCCGAUCUGACUUACUCUGGUGAUGGGAUGGCCAAACACCCUAAUUGUUGUGCUAGAAACCUCAUCCAACUACUGAGGGAUCUGGAUGCAGAGAUCCAUGACUAGGCCCCGGGUGGAUCUCUGGGAGUCCAAUUAGCGAGAAUGAGGAGGGUUUAUAUGAGCGAGAAUUGUUGAGACCAAGGUUGGAUAAAGCACAGGGACAAAUAGCCAAAUGAAUGGAAACACAUGAACUAUGAACCAAUGGCUGAGGGGUCCCCACUGGAUCAGGCCCUCUGAAAGGGUGAGACAGUUGAUUGGCUUGAUCUGUUUGGGAGGCAUCCAGGCAGUGGGACCAGAUCUUGUGCUCAUUGCAUGAGUUGGCUGUUUAAAACCUGGGGCCUAUGCAGGAUUGUUUGGCUUGGCCUGGGAGGAGGGGACUAGACCUACCUGGACUGAGUCUACCAGGUUGACCUCAGUCUGUGGGGAAGGCUUUGCCCUGGAGG